UACGGGGGGAGCAAGCUUUGUUCGGAUUUACUGGGCGUAAAGGGCGCGUAGGCGGUCAGCACAAGUCAGUUGUGAAAUCUCCGGGCUUAACUCGGAAAGGUCAACUGAUACUGUGCGACUAGAGUGCGGAAGGGGCAACUGGAAUUCUCGGUGUAGCGGUGAAAUGCGUAGAUAUCGAGAGGAACACCUGCGGCGAAGGCGGGUUGCUGGGCCGACACUGACGCUGAUGCGCGAAAGCCAGGGGAGCGAACGGG
rnacentral:rRNA from 1 species